rnacentral:rRNA from 1 species
AUUGAACGCUGGCGGCAUGCUUUACACAUGCAAGUCGAACGGUAACAGGCCGCAAGGUGCUGACGAGUGGAGAACGGGUGAGUAAUGCAUCGGAACGUGCCCAGUCGUGGGGGAUAACGCCGCGAAAGCUGCGCUAAUACCGCAUACGAUCUAUUGAUGAAAGCGGGGGACCGUAAGGCCUCGCGCGAUUGGAGCGGCCGAUGUCAGAUUAGGUAGUUGGUGGGGUAAGGGCUCACCAAGCCAACGAUCUGUAGCUGGCCUGAGAGGCCGACCAGCCACACUGGGACUGAGACACGGCCCAGACUCCUACGGGAGGCAGCAGUGGGGAAUUUUGGACAAUGGGCGCAAGCCUGAUCCAGCAAUGCCGCGUGCAGGAAGAAGGCCUUCGGGUUGUAAACUGCUUUUGUACGGAACGAAACGGUCCUGGUUAAUACCUGGGGCUAAUGACGGUACCGUAAGAAUAAGCACCGGCUAACUACGUGCCAGCCGCCGCCGUAACAC